AAACAGACUGAUUCAGGCUAGUGGUUUGACGGGGCCAAUUCCUUCCGGCAUUUCUCUUUUGACAAAAUUAACUGACUUGAGAAUUACUGACUUGAGUGGGCCUGAAGCAACCUUUCCUCCACUUGAGAAUAUGAAAAGCAUGAAGACACUGAUGUUGAGGAGUUGCAAUAUUGUUGGACAGCUACCUACAUAUCUCGGGGACCUGACGAAGUUGAAAACUUUAGACCUCAGCUUUAACAAGCUAACCGGAAAAAUUCCAAGCAACCUUGAUGCUCUAA